rnacentral:rRNA from 1 species
AUUGAACGCUGGCGGCAGGCUUAACACAUGCAAGUCGAGCGAGCGGCGGACGGGUGAGUAAUGUCUGGGACACUGCCUGCUGGAGGGGGAUAACUACUGGAAACGGUAGCUAAUACCGCAUACCAUCAGAUGUGCCCAGACGGGAGUAGCUAGUAGGUGGGGUAAUGGCUCACCUAGGCGACGAUCCCUAGCUGGUCUGAGAGGAUGACCAGCCACUCUGUAACUGAGACCCGGUCCAGACUCCUACGUGAGGCAGCAGGGGGGAAGAUUGCACGAUGGGCGCAAGCCUGAUGCAGCCAUGCCGCGUGUGUGAAGAAGGCCUUCGGGUUGUACAGCACUUUCAGCGAGGAGGCGUUACUCGCAGAAGAAGCACCGGCUAACUCCGUGCCAGCAGCCGCGGUAAUUC